rnacentral:rRNA from 1 species
UUGAUUAUGACGUACUUGUACUGAUUGAGAUUUUAACACGAAGUGAGUGGCGAACGGGUGAGUAACACGUGGGUAACCUGCCCAGAAGUAGGGGAUAACACCUGGAAACAGAUGCUAAUACCGUAUAACAGAGAAAACCGCAUGGUUUUCUUUUAAAAGAUGGCUCUGCUAUCACUUCUGGAUGGACCCGCGGCGUAUUAGCUAGUUGGUGAGGUAAAGGCUCACCAAGGCAGUGAUACGUAGCCGACCUGAGAGGGUAAUCGGCCACAUUGGGACUGAGACACGGCCCAGACUCCUACGGGAGGCAGCAGUAGGGAAUCUUCCACAAUGGACGCAAGUCUGAUGGAGCAACGCCGCGUGAGUGAAGAAGGGUUUCGGCUCGUAAAGCUCUGUUGUUAAAGAAGAACGUGGGUAAGAGUAACUGUUUACCCAGUGACGGUAUUUAACCAGAAAGCCACGGCUAACUACGUGCCAGCAGCCGCGGUAAUACGUAGGUGGCAAGCGUUAUCCGGAUUUAUUGGGCGUAAAGCGAGCGCAGGCGGUCUUUUAAGUCUAAUGUGAAAGCCUUCGGCUCAACCGAAGAAGUGCAUUGGAAACUGGGAGACUUGAGUGCAGAAGAGGACAGUGGAACUCCACUGGGUAGGGCG